GCGAUUUGCGAUGGCCGGUGCUUCGGUGCCGGUUCACGCUGUCGCUGCGGUAUAAUCGGCAACGUCGGCGUGCACUUCUCCCCUAGUAGGACGUCGCGACCCGUUGGGUGCCGGCCUACGGCCCGGUUGGUCGACUGUCGCGUCGCGUUCACGCGUGCUCGCGGCAGACCACUGGUCGCCCGGCCGGCUGCUCGGCGGUAUUGAUCGUAAUUGAACGGUAUUGGGCCGCAUUAUGUGCGUCCUGGCUCGUCGGCAGGCUCGCCUCGCUCGGAUUUACGGACCUAGUGCCGUUGCCGGGCGCUUGGCGCGGCUGUUAGUCGACGAUGUCCUCGGACUGGCUCUGACAUUCGAAAGGAUGUACCGGUCGGCGACGCUACUGCUUUGGGUACUUUCAGGACCCGUCUUGAAACACGGACCAAGGAGUCUAACAUGUGCGCGAGUCAUUGGGACUUGUUAAGCCUAAAGGCGCAAUGAAAGUGAAGGUCGGCCUUAGCGUCGACCUAGGGAGGAUGGUUCGCGUCACGAUGCGAGCUCGCACUCCCGGGGCGUCUCGUGCUCAUUUCGAGCAGAGGCGCACCUAGAGCGUACACGUUGGGACCCGAAAGAUGGUGAACUAUGCCUGGUCAGGACGAAGUCAGGGGAAACCCUGAUGGAGGUCCGUAGCGAUUCUGACGUGCAAAUCGAUCGUCGGAA
rnacentral:rRNA from 1 species